AUUGAACGCUGGCGGCAGGCCUAACACAUGCAAGUCGAACGAGUGGCGGACGGGUGAGUAAUGUCUGGGAAACUGCCUGAUGGAGGGGGAUAACUACUGGAAACGGUAGCUAAUACCGCAUACCAUCAGAUGUGCCCAGAUGGGAUUAGCUAGUAGGUGGGGUAACGGCUCACCUAGGCGACGAUCCCUAGCUGGUCUGAGAGGAUGACCAGCCACACUGUACCUGAGACCCGGUCCAGACUCCUACGGUAGGCAGCAGGUGGGAUUAUUGCACAAUGGGCGCAAGCCUGAUGCAGCCAUGCCGCGUGUAUUAUGAAGGCCUUCGGGUUGUAAAGUACUUUCAGCGGGGAGGCGUUACCCGCAGAAGAAGCCCCGGCUAACUCCGUGCCAGCCGCCGCGGUAAUUC
rnacentral:rRNA from 1 species